GUAUUUUCCCCCCUUUCUCAAACUAAGAAGCGCUGGCCUUCAUUUUGAUGAAAUGAAGCAAGUAUGUCACCUCCACCCAUCUUUAUUUCUCAAUUUGAUGCAUAUUUGCUUGGCGCAGGCAAAUUAUGCUCCUUACUUCUUUGACAAUGGACCCAGCAGCACCAAUGGGAACAUGGCCCUUCUCAGCCUUUCGGAGGACACCGAAG
rnacentral:lncRNA from 11 species